CAUGAAGCCGGAAUCGCUAGUAAUCGCGGAUCAGAAUGCCGCGGUGAAUACGUUCCCGGGUCUUGUACACACCGCCCGUCACACCAUGGGAGUCGGAAAUGCCCGAAGCCGGUGACCCAACCCGAAAGGGAGGGAGCCGUCGAAGGCAGGUCGGAUGACUGGGGUGAAGUCGUAACAAGGUAUC
rnacentral:rRNA from 1 species